GUCAUUCUGGCCGAGUGGUCCAAGGCGCUGCGUUCAGGUCGCAGUCUUCUUCGAAGGGCGCAGGUUCGAAACCUGCGGAUGACA
rfam:Angiostrongylus costaricensis strain Costa Rica genome assembly, scaffold: ACOC_contig0002660